rnacentral:rRNA from 1 species
AUCUAGAUUGCGGAUCGCGGCCGCAGAGUUUGACCCUGGCUCAGGAUGAACGCUGGCGGCGUGCCUAACACAUGCAAGUCGUGCGAGAAGUUUGAAAAAUGAGUUUUCGAACAAGUGAUUCAAACGGAAAGCGGCGGACGGGUGAGUAACGCGUAGGCAACCUGCCCCGUGCAGAGGGACAGCCUCGGGAAACCGGGAUUAAGACCUCAUGAUAUCGGGUUAUCACAUGGUAAUCCGGUCAAAGAUUUAUCGGCAUGGGAUGGGCCUGCGUCUGAUUAGCUGGUUGGUGGGGUAACGGCCUACCAAGGCGACGAUCAGUAGCAGAACUGAGAGGUUCAUCUGCCACAUUGGAACUGAGACACGGUCCAAACUCCUACGGGAGGCAGCAGUGAGGAAUAUUGCACAAUGGGCGAAAGCCUGAUGCAGCAACGCCGCGUGAGCGAAGAAGGCCUUUGGGUCGUAAAGCUCUGUCCUUGGGGAAGAAACAAAUGACGGUACCCUUGGAGGAAGCCCCGGCUAACUACGUGCCAGCAGCCGCGGUAAUACGUAGGGGGCGAGCGUUAUCCGGAAUUAUUGGGCGUAAAGAGUGCGUAGGUGGUCUUGUAAGCGUGGGGUGAAAGGCAGUGGCUUAACCAUUGUUAGCCUUGCGAACUGUGAGACUUGAGUGCAGGAGAGGAAAGCGGAAUUCCUAGUGUAGCGGUGAAAUGCGUAGAUAUUAGGAGGAACACCAGUGGCGAAGCGGCUUUCUGGACUGUAACUGACACUGAGGGCACGAAAGCGCGGGGAGCAAACAGGAUUAG